rnacentral:rRNA from 1 species
AAUAGAUACCCGGGUAGUCCACCCCGUAAAACGUUGGGAACUAGUUGUGGGGUCCUUUCCACGGAUUCCGUGACGCAGCUAACGCAUUAAGUUCCCCGCCUGGGGAGUACGGCCGCAAGGCUAAAACUCAAAGGAAUUGACGGGGACCCGCACAAGCGGCGGAGCAUGCGGAUUAAUUCGAUGCAACGCGAAGAACCUUACUAAGGCUUGACAUACACCGGAAACGGCCAGAGAUGGUCGCCCCGCAAGGUCGGUGUACAGGUGGUGCAUGGUUGUCGUCAGCUCGUGUCGUGAGAUGUUGGGUUAAGUCCCGCAACGAGCGCAACCCUCGUUCUAUGUUGCCAGCACGUAAUGGUGGGAACUCAUGGGAUACUGCCGGGGUCAACUCGGAGGAAGGUGGGGAUGACGUCAAAUCAUCAUGCCCCUUAUGUCUUGGGCUUCACGCAUGCUACAAUGGCCGGUACAAAGGGCUGCAACACCGUGAGGUGGAGCGAAUCCCAAAAGCCGGUCCAGUUCGGAUUGAGGUCUGCAACUCGACUCGUGAAGUCG